AACGCACGAGACCUGCGGACCUGCGGAGGGAUCAUUAAUGAGAAACUGCCCCUCGCGGGUAGAUCUCCCACCCUUUGUAAACUUACCUUUGUUGCUUUGGCAGGCCCGUCUCCGGACCGCCGGCUUCGGCUGGCCAGUGCCUGCCAGAGGAUUCUAAAACUCUGUCUGUCAGUGUUGUCUGAGUCUAUUUACAAUCGUUAAAACUUUCAGCAAUGGAUCUCUAGAUCGGAAGAGCACACG
rnacentral:misc_RNA from 1 species